GACGAACGCUGGCGGCGUGCUUAACACAUGCAAGUCGAACGGAAGGGCCCUGCUUGCAGGGUACUCGAGUGGCGAACGGGUGAGUAACACGUGGGUGAUCUGCCCUGCACUUCGGGAUAAGCCUGGGAAACUGGGUCUAAUGCCGGAUAGGAGCCAUUUUUAGUGUGAUGGUUGGAGAGUUUUUUCGGUGUAGGAUGAGCUCGCGGCCUAUCAGCUUGUUGGUGGGGUAAUGGCCUACCAAGGCGGCGACGGGUAGCCGGCCUGAGAGGGUGGACGGCCACAUUGGGACUGAGAUACGGCCCAGACUCCUACGGGAGGCAGCAGUGGGGAAUAUUGCACAAUGGGCGCAAGCCUGAUGCAGCGACGCCGCGUGGGGGAUGACGGCCUUCGGGUUGUAAACUCCUUUCGCUAGGGACGAAGCUUUUUGUGACGGUACCUAGAUAAGAAGCACCGGCUAACUACGUG
rnacentral:rRNA from 1 species